rnacentral:rRNA from 1 species
AUUUGCGCAUGGGCGAAGGCCUGNCGCAGCGACGCCGCGUGGGGGAUGAAGGCCUUCGGGUUGUAAACCUCUUUCAGCAGGGACGAAGCGAAAGUGACGGUACCUGCAGAAGAAGCGCCGGCUAACUACGUGCCAGCAGCCGCGGUAACACGUAGGGCGCAAGCGUUGUCCGGAAUUAUUGGGCGUAAAGAGCUCGUAGGCGGUCUGUUGCGUCCGCUGUGAAAUCUCGGGGCUUAACCCCGAGCCUGCAGUGGAUACGGGCAGACUAGAGGUAGGUAGGGGAGAAUGGAAUUCCCGGUGUAGCGGUGAAAUGCGCAGAUAUCGGGAGGAACACCGGUGGCGAAGGCGGUUCUCUGGGCCUUACCUGACGCUGAGGAGCGAAAGCGUGGGGAGCGAACAGGAUUAGAUACCCUGGUAGUCCACGCCGUAAACGUUGGGCGCUAGGUGUGGGAUCCUUCCACGGAUUCCGUGCCGCAGCUAACGCAUUAAGCGCCCCGCCUGGGGAGUACGGCCGCAAGGCUAAAACUCAAAAAAAUUGACGGA